AUAAGCGGAGGAAAAGAAACCAACAGGGAUUGCCUCAGUAACGGCGAGUGAAGCGGCAACAGCUCAAAUUUGAAAUCUGGCUUCCUUUGGGAGUCCGAGUUGUAAUUUGCAGAGGAUGUUUCGGGUACCGCUCCGGUUUAAAUUUCUUGGAACAGAAUGUCAGAGAGGGUGAGAAUCCCGUCUUGGACCGGCGGUAGGGCCCAUGUGAAACUCCCUCGACGAGUCGAGUUGUUUGGGAAUGCAGCUCAAAAUGGGUGGUAAAUUUCAUCUAAAGCUAAAUAUUGGCCAGAGACCGAUAGCGCACAAGUAGAGUGAUCGAAAGAUGAAAAGCACUUUGAAAAGAGAGUUAAACAGUAUGUGAAAUUGUUGAAAGGGAAGCGCUUGCGACCAGACUUGUACGCGGCGGUUCCCCCGUCCUUUUGGGCGGGCUAUUCCGUCGUGUUCAGGCCAACAUCGGUUCUGGGGGUUGGUUAAAGGCUUAGGGAAUGUAUCUACCCUUUGGGCGUAGACUUAUAGCCCUAGGUGUCAUACAACCUCCCGGGACCGAGGAACGCGCUUCGGCUCGGAUGUUGGCGUAAUGGUCGUAAGCGACCCGUCUUGAAACACGGACCAAGGAGUCUAACAUUUAUGCGAGUGUUUGGGUGUCAAACCCGGAACGCGGAAUGAAAGUGAACGGAGGUAGGAAGCUUUUAGCUGCACUAUCGACCGAUCCUGAUGUCUUCGGAUGGAUUUGAGUAAGAGCAUAACUGUUGGGACCCGAAAGAUGGUGAACUAUGCCUGAAUAGGGUGAAGCCAGAGGAAACUCUGGUGGAGGCUCGCAGCGGUUCUGACGUGCAAAUCGAUCGUCAAAUUUAGGUAUAGGGGCGAAAGACUAAUCGAACCAUCUGGUAGCUGGUUCCUG
rnacentral:rRNA from 1 species